rnacentral:misc_RNA from 1 species
GAAAUGCGAUAAGUAAUGUGAAUUGCAGAAUUCAGUGAAUCAUCGAAUCUUUGAACGCACCUUGCGCUCCUUGGUAUUCCGAGGAGCAUGCCUGUUUGAGUGUCAUGAAACCCUCAAACCCAAGUUUUGGAUUUCGGUCCAUGCUUGAGUUUGGAUUUGGAUGUUUGCCGGUGAUGAACCGACUCAUCUUAAAAGUAUUAGCUUGGAUCUGUCUAUAUGACUGGUUUGACUUGGCAUAAUAAGUAUUUUGCUGAGGACAUCUUCGGAUGGCCAGGACCUAGACUACUGUCUGCUAACUAAACCAUCACUUUGAGUGCAUCUUUGGAUGUUACUCAUUGUGUAACUUUGACAUCUGGCCUCACUUGCGAGUGAUUACCCGCUGAAUUUAA